GUCGAGCGAACAGACGAGGAGCUUGCUCCUCUGACGUUAGCGGCGGACGGGUGAGUAACACGUGGAUAACCUACCUAUAAGACUGGGAUAACUUCGGGAAACCGGAGCUAAUACCGGAUAAUAUAUUGAACCGCAUGGUUCAAUAGUGAAAGACGGUUUUGCUGUCACUUAUAGAUGGAUCCGCGCCGCAUUAGCUAGUUGGUAAGGUAACGGCUUACCAAGGCGACGAUGCGUAGCCGACCUGAGAGGGUGAUCGGCCACACUGGAACUGAGACACGGUCCAGACUCCUACGGGAGGCAGCAGUAGGGAAUCUUCCGCAAUGGGCGAAAGCCUGACGGAGCAACGCCGCGUGAGUGAUGAAGGUCUUCGGAUCGUAAAACUCUGUUAUUAGGGAAGAACAAAUGUGUAAGUAACUAUGCACGUCUUGACGGUACCUAAUCAGAAAGCCACGGCUAACUACGUGCCAGCAGCCGCGGUAAUACGUAGGUGGCAAGCGUUAUCCGGAAUUAUUGGGCGUAAAGCGCGCGUAGGCGGUUUUUUAAGUCUGAUGUGAAAGCCCACGGCUCAACCGUGGAGGGUCAUUGGAAACUGGAAAACUUGAGUGCAGAAGAGGAAAGUGGAAUUCCAUGUGUAGCGGUGAAAUGCGCAGAGAUAUGGAGGAACACCAGUGGCGAAGGCGACUUUCUGGUCUGUAACUGACGCUGAUGUGCGAAAGCGUG
rnacentral:rRNA from 1 species